GGAAUCUUCCACAAUGGACGCGAGUCUGAUGGAGCAACGCCGCGUGAGUGAAGAAGGGUUUCGGCUCGUAAAGCUCUGUUGUUAAAGAAGAACGUGGGUAAGAGUAACUGUUUACCCAGUGACGGUAUUUAACCAGAAAGCCACGGCUAACUACGUGCUAG
rnacentral:rRNA from 1 species